AUUGAACGCUGGCGGCAGGCCUAACACAUGCAAGUCGAGCGAGCGGCGGACGGGUGAGUAAUGUCUGGGAAACUGCCUGAUGGAGGGGGAUAACUACUGGACACGGUAGCUAAUACCGCAUACCAUCAGAUUUGCCCAGAGGGGAUUAGCUAGUAGGUGGGGUAACGGCUCACCAAGGCGACGAUCCCUAGCUGGUCUGAGAGGAUGACCAGCCACACUGGAACUGAGACACGGUCCAGACUCCUACGGGAGGCAGCAGUGGGGAAUAUUGCACAAUGGGCGCAAGCCUGAUGCAGCCAUGCCGCGUGUGUGAAGAAGGCCUUCGGGUUGUAAAGCACUUUCAGCGAGGAGGCGUUACUCGCAGAAGAAGCACUGGCUAACUCCGUGCCAGCAGCCGCGGUAAUAC
rnacentral:rRNA from 1 species